rnacentral:lncRNA from 1 species
CCUGCCAUGACGCUCCUGAGCUCACACCCUCUGAAACUGCAACAUGGGCACCUGGCAGAGGUACUUGGGGAAGAGGAAGACUAUGAGUUCAGCCUGGCCACCUGCAAGAGUGCUGGGCUGAGCCUGUGGUGACUUCUCAGCCCUGGUCUUGUUGGUGUGAACUGCACAGCCCACUGUGGACUUCCUGCCUUUCAGCACUGGCUCGGGACAUGGAGGCGCGCUACCAUCGCAAGCCAAGAAUGACGUGCACAUUUUUCUAGCUUUCCCGAUGCUCACAGACACUGCCAGCUUCCUG